rnacentral:rRNA from 1 species
AACAGGAUUAGAUACCCUGGUAGUCCACGCCGUAAACGAUGUCUACUAGCUGUUCGUGACCUUGUGUUGUGAGUAGCGCAGCUAACGCAUUAAGUAGACCGCCUGGGGAGUACGGUCGCAAGAUUAAAACUCAAAUGAAUUGACGGGGGCCCGCACAAGCGGUGGAGCAUGUGGUUUAAUUCGACGCAACGCGAAGAACCUUACCUACUCUUGACAUCUACAGAAGACUGCAGAGAUGCGGUUGUGCCUUCGGGAACUGUAAGACAGGCGCUGCAUGGCUGUCGUCAGCUCGUGUUGUGAAAUGUUGGGUUAAGUCCCGCAACGAGCGCAACCCUUAUCCUUAGUUGCCAGCGAUUCGGUCGGGAACUCUAGGGGGACUGCCGGUGAUAAACCGGAGGAAGGUGGGGACGACGUCGAGUCAUCAUGGCCCUUACGAGUAGGGCUACACACGUGCUACAAUGGUAUGUACAGAGGGAGGCGAUGCCGCGAGGCGGAGCGGAUCUCUUAAAGCAUAUCGUAGUCCGGAUCGCAGUCUGCAACUCGACUGCGUGAAGUCGGAAUCGCUAGUAAUCGCAAAUCAGAAUGUUGCGGUGAAUACGUUCCCGGGCCUUGUACACACCGCCCGUCACACCAUGGGAGUGGGUUGCAAAAGAAGUAGGUAGCUUAACCUUCGGGAGGGCGCUUACCACUUUUGAUUCAUGACUGGGGUGAAGUCGUAACAAGGUCACC